AACUCCGUGGUGUAGUAGUCAACGCACCCAUCUAAAAAUGGGAAACGUAGGCUUAAAUCCUACCGGUAUCU
rnacentral:tRNA from 1 species